rnacentral:rRNA from 1 species
UACAGAGGUCUCAAGCGUUGCUCGGAAUCACUGGGCGUAAAGCGCACGUAGGCGGAUUGUUAAGUCAGGGGUGAAAUCCUGGAGCUCAACUCCAGAACUGCCUUUGAUACUGGCGAUCUUCGAGUCCGGGAGAGGUGAGUGGAACUGCGAGUGUAGAGGUGAAAUUCGUAGAUAUUCGCAAGAACACCAGUGGCGAAGGCGGCUCACUGGCCCGGUACUGACGCUGAGGUGCGAAAGCGUGGGGAGCAAACAGG